rnacentral:misc_RNA from 1 species
UGCUGUCAGUAUUGCAAGGGUAAGUAAUUUUUAAAUGAAAUUCCAAUAUUAAUCUCUGCUGUCUUUUCCUUGAUAAAAUGCAGGAUGUUAUUUCUUUUCUUUAUUUAACUUUCUAGUGUGAUGCACUAUAGUUACAUGGUUAAACCUGAUAGCAAGGGCUUUUGUUUGCUUUAUCAAGUUAGGUGCUUAUGAUCAUGGUGCAAAUUUCAGGAUUUUUCCAUAAAA